CCUACGUGUGGCAGCAGUGGGGAAUAUUGCACAAUGGGGGAAACCCUGAUGCAGCGACGCCGCGUGAGUGAAGAAGUAAUUCGGUAUGUAAAGUUCUAUUAGCAGGGACGAAAAUGAUGGUACUUGCGUACGAAUACCCGGCUAACUACGUCCCACCAGCAGCGGCAAUACGUAGUAGGCGAGCGUUAUCCGGCUUUACUGGGUGUAGAGGGAGCGUAGACGGCGGUGCAAGUCUGGAGUGAAAGGCGAGGGCGCAACCCCCGAACUGCUGUGGAUACUGUACGGCUGGAGUGCUGGAGAGGCAAGUGGAAUUCCUAGUGUAGCGGUGAAAUGCGUAGAUAUUAGGAAGAACACCAGUGGCGAAGGCGGCUUACUGAACUGUAACUGACGUUGAGGCUCGAAAGCGUGGGGAGCAAACAGGAUUAGAUACCCUGGUAGUC
rnacentral:rRNA from 1 species